ensembl:lncRNA
AGAGCGCGGUACGUCUCUGCGUAAGGCCGCUGAUGCUCGGGCCGCGGUUUCAGGCUUUGGGUGGAAUAAUUAAGGAAACUUUCAUGGACACGUCUGCAAGGUGCUCACCUGCACCUGUUCCUCCACAUUUUUAUCACUGAUCAGUUAAUGGACCAUCACCUCACCACAUGGAUUUUGGACUACCUCACCGACCGACCACAGUAUGUGAGGACUCAGGGCUGUGUGUCGGACAGGGUCGUCUGCAGUACGGGGGCCCCACAGGGAACGGUUCUGGCUCCGUUCCUCUUCACCAUCUACACUGCAGACUUCUCCCACAACUCCACCCAGUGCUUCCUGCAGAAGUUCUCUGAUGACUCUGCAAUAGUCGGCCUCAUCACUGAUGGGGACGACAAGGAGUACAGAGGACUGACUCAGGACUUUGUGGACUGGUGCCAGCUGAACUACCUCCAGAUCAACGCCAAUAAAACCAAGGAGCUGGUGGUAGACUUCCGCAGGCACAAACAUCCUCCACUGCAACCACUGAACAUCCAAGGUAUGGACAUUGAGGCUGUGGACAGCUACAGGUACCUUGGUGUUCAUCUGAACAACAAACUGGACUGGACUCAUAACUCAGACGCCCUCUACAGGAAAGGGCAGAGCAGGCUGUACCUGCUGCGGAGACUCAGGUCGUUUGGAGUGGAGGGCCCACUCCUGAAGACCUUCUAUGACUCUGUGGUGGCCUCAGCCAUCUUUUAUGGUGUGGUCUGCUGGGGUGGCAGCAUCUCUGCUGGGGACAGGAAGAGACUGAACAGGCUGAUCCGAAGGGCCAGCUCUGUUCUAGGAUGCCCUCUGGACCCAGUGGAGGUGGUGAGUGACAGGAGAAUGGCGGCUAAGCUGUCAUCCCUGUUGGACAACAUCUCCACCCCAUGCAGGAGACUGUGACAGCACUGAGCAGCUCCUUCAGUGGCUGCGGCACCCACGGUGUGGGACGGAGAGAUUUCGCAGGAGACCAGGUGAGCCAGUCAGUGUAAACUCUCAGUGGAUCCUUGAAACAUCCAACAUGUUUGUCUGAAAGGACACCAAAGAGAGCCCACCUGCAGUAUGAGUGCAGGUGAUUACAGGUAAUUAAGAGCAUUUAAUGAGCCGAUGGUGCAGCAUUGAAUGUUUUCUGCCUGCUCGUGUGAAAGAAGAAGUAAAAUAGUCCCAGAUGUUUCUGGAGCCC